AAAUUUUCAACUUGGCUAUCAGUGUAAAAUCAUACAAGUGUUCGGUAAACAGGAAGUUGUCGAGUGAUGAAUCUGAAAACGCAUCACACGGUAUAGCUGACUUAUAUAAAUCCUGAAACCAAAUUUCAGAAAUCCUUGUAUUGUAGUUGCUGAGAAAAAUGUGACGAAAAUUUUCAACUUGGCUAUCAUGUGUAAAAUCAUACAAGUGUUCGGUAAACAGGAAGUUGUCAAGU
rnacentral:lncRNA from 1 species